rnacentral:snRNA from 13 species
UAAAAGGGUCGGUUGGCUAAAUAUGCCACACUCGCCCUAGUCUGGUGAGUGCCGUAUGGCUAUCAAGACAUAUGGCUGACAUAAUUUGUGGGACAGCACAGGGUUGGCUCGCCUGGCCGACCCUCCGU